AUUGAACGCUGGCGGAAUGCUUUACACAUGCAAGUCGAACGGCAGCACGGGGGCAACCCUGGUGGCGAGUGGCGAACGGGUGAGUAAUACAUCGGAACGUGCCCAGUCGUGGGGGAUAACGUAGCGAAAGUUACGCUAAUACCGCAUACGAUCUACGGAUGAAAGCGGGGGACCGUAAGGCCUCGCGCGAUUGGAGCGGCCGAUUUCAGAUUAGGUAGUUGGUGAGGUAAAGGCUCACCAAGCCGACGAUCUGUAGCUGGUCUGAGAGGACGACCAGCCACACUGGGACGAAGACACGGCCCAGACUCCUACGGGAGGCAGCAGUGGGGAAUUUUGGACAAUGGGCGCAAGCCUGAUCCAGCCAUUCCGCGUGCAGGACGAAGGCCUUCGGGUUGUAAACUGCUUUUGUACGGAACGAAAAGGUUCUGGUUAAUACCUGGGGCUCAUGACGGUACCGUAAGAAUAAGCACCGGCUAACUACGUGCCAGCCGCCGCAGUA
rnacentral:rRNA from 1 species